CCUACGGGAGGCAGCAGUGGGGAAUAUUGGACAAUGGGGGAAACCCUGAUCCAGCGACGCCGCGUGAGUGAAGAAGUAUUUCGGUACGUAAAGCCCUAUCAGCAGGAAAGAAAAUGACGGUACCUGACUAAGAAGCCCCGGCUAACUACGUGCCAGCAGCAGCGGCAACACGUAGGGGGCCAGCGUUAUCCGGAUUUACGGGGCGUAAUGGGAGCGUAGACGGCAGCGCAAGUCUGGAGUGAAAGGCCGGGGCCCAACCCCGGAACUGCGCAGGAAACUGGGAGGCUGGAGUGCAGGAGAGGUAAGCGGAAUUCCUGGUGUAGCGGUGAAAUGCGUAGAUAUCAGGAGGAACACCGGCGGCGAAGGCGGCUUCCUGGACUGUAACUGACGUUGAGGCUCGAAGGCGUGGGGAGCGAACAGGAUUAGAUACCCGGGUAGUC
rnacentral:rRNA from 1 species